GACGAACGCUGGCGGCGUGCCUAAUACAUGCAAGUCGAGCGAACCAAUGGGAGCUUGCUCCCUGAGGUUAGCGGCGGACGGGUGAGUAACACGUGGGUAACCUGCCUGUGAGAUUGGGAUAACUCCGGGAAACCGGAGCUAAUACCGGAUAAUAUUUUGAACCGCAUGGUUCAAAAUUGAAAGACGGCUUCGGCUGCCACUUACAGAUGGACCCGCGGCGCAUUAGCUAGUUGGUGAGGUAACGGCUCACCAAGGCGACGAUGCGUAGCCGACCUGAGAGGGUGAUCGGCCACACUGGGAGUGAGACACGGCCCAGACUCCUACGGGAGGCAGCAGUAGGGAAUCUUCCGCAAUGGACGAAAGUCUGACGGAGCAACGCCGCGUGAACGAUGAAGGCCUUCGGGUCGUAAAGUUCUGUUGUUAGGGAAGAACAAGUACCAGAGUAACUGCUGGUACCUUGACGGUACCUAACCAGAAAGCCACGGCUAACUACGUG
rnacentral:rRNA from 1 species